UCAGAGUGAAAUAAAACACUUUUCACUCAAUCAAACACAUCCAACCCUCUUUCACAAUCUCCACCAUGUUUCUCCAAAUUCCAAAUCAAAUUAAACCUUACAUGAACCCUAAUAUUUCAAACUAAAAUUAAAUCGUCAAGGAGAGGAAUCAAGCCACACAACCUUGGGGCUUUGAUUCCCCUCAUCAAGAGCUACAUGUUGGUAACCCAAAUGGAGAAAAUGAGUGAAGUUUGGAGGGCUUACCUACAAGGCGGAGGCUGCCUUGGAGAUUGUUUAAGCACCCGAAGUUGUGGACGAAGAUGAAAAUACCAGAGAAAAACGAUCAAGGACUAGUGGGCUUAUGAUAUUUGGUGUGGGAUGGCAAGGUUUGAAGACAUGGCUUAAGCAUGGUGGUGGCAGAGUUUGAAGACAUGGACCAAAAUUUUCAUGGAACCAAAUGGAUCAUGAAGGAAAAUCAUGGCAUGAUUGAAGAGAAUCUUGAAAAGGGGAGACCAAAGUGGAUUUAGGGGCUAGAAUAGUUAGUUUGACUUUGGUCAAUUAUUGACCAAAGUCAACUUUAGGUCAACAAUUUAUAUUUUUUUGUAGAAUUGGAUUUUGAACUUCUUGUAAUGGAACUUUGGGUGAUUUGUAAUGAAAGUGGCCCUUGAAUUGUA